GUCCCGGUAGCGCAAUGGAUAGCGCGUUGGACUUCUGAUCCAAAGGUCAGAAGUCCAAGGUCGUGGGUUCGAAUCCCACCUGGGAUG